rnacentral:rRNA from 1 species
UUGAACGCUGGCGGCAGGCCUCACACAUGCAAGUCGAACGGUAACAGGAAGCAGCUUGCUGCUUCGCUGACGAGUGGCGGACGGGUGAGUAAUGUCUGGGAAGCUGCCUGAUGGAGGGGGAUAACUACUGGAAACGGUAGCUAAUACCGCAUAAUGUCGCAAGACCAAAGAGGGGGACCUUCGGGCCUCUUGCCAUCGGAUGUGCCCAGAUGGGAUUAGCUUGUUGGUGGGGUAACGGCUCACCAAGGCGACGAUCCCUAGCUGGUCUGAGAGGAUGACCAGCCACACUGGAACUGAGACACGGUCCAGACUCCUACGGGAGGCAGCAGUGGGGAAUAUUGCACAAUGGGCGCAAGCCUGAUGCAGCCAUGCCGCGUGUAUGAAGAAGGCCUUCGGGUUUUAAAGUACUUUCAGCGGGGAGGAAGGGAGUAAAGUUAAUACCUUUGCUCAUUGACGUUACCCGCAGAAGAAGCACCUGCUAACUCCGUG